UGAAACGUAACGCGGAUGUUGUC
rnacentral:siRNA from 1 species